CAGCCGUAAACUAUGCGCGUUAGGUGUAUCGGUGACCACGAGUCACCGAGGUGCCGAAGGGAAACCGUGAAACGUGCCGCCUGGGAAGUACGGUCGCAAGGCUGAAACUUAAAGGAAUUGGCGGGGGAGCACAACAACGGGUGGAGCCUGCGGUUUAAUUGGACUCAACGCCGGACAAACUCACCGGGGACGACAGCAAUAUGUAGGCCAGGCUGAAGACCUUGCCUGAAUCGCUGAGAGGUGGUGCAAGUGGCGUAG
rnacentral:rRNA from 1 species